rnacentral:rRNA from 1 species
GACUCUCGGCAACGGAUAUCUCGGCUCUCGCAUCGAUGAAGAACGUAGCAAAAUGCGAUACUUGGUGUGAAUUGCAGAAUCCCGUGAACCAUCGAGUCUUUGAACGCAAGUUGCGCCCGAAGCCAUCCGGCCUAGGGCACGCCUGCCUGGGCGUCACGCAUAG